rnacentral:rRNA from 1 species
UACAGAGGUCUCAAGCGUUGUUCGGAUUCAUUGGGCGUAAAGGGUGCGUAGGCGGCGCGGUAAGUCGGGUGUGAAAUCUUGGAGCUUAACUCCGAAACUGCAUUCGAUACUGCCGUGCUUGAGGACUGGAGAGGAGACUGGAAUUUACGGUGUAGCGGUGAAAUGCGUAGAUAUCGUAAGGAAGACCAGUGGCGAAGGCGGGUCUCUGGACAGUUCCUGACGCUGAGGCACGAAGGCCAGGGGAGCAAACGAG